rnacentral:lncRNA from 1 species
CUGUCAUAAUUAUUGACGAAAAGUGAACUCGCUCAAAAAGAGUCACACCUUUGUAUUGGGAACUGCUUUUUCUUUGUAUUGUUUUCUGAGUUCCUUCUUCAGAUCCGAUCGAAACAACAACGAGUGAUGAGUUAGUAAUUGUAAUAAUUUCGGCUAAAAUAUUUAUAAAAAUUGGAUAAUGUGCUGGAAUAGUAAUUAUUUUGGGAGAAAAAAGAGAGUCAAUGAAUCAAAACGAAGCUCCCAACAAG